rnacentral:rRNA from 1 species
GAUGAACGCUGGCGGCGUGCCUAAUACAUGCAAGUCGAGCGAACGGACGAGAAGCUUGCUUCUCUGAUGUUAGCGGCGGACGGGUGAGUAACACGUGGAUAACCUACCUAUAAGACUGGGAUAACUUCGGGAAACCGGAGCUAAUACCGGACAAUAUUUUGAACCGCAUGGUUCAAAAGUGGAAGACGGUCUUGCUGUCACUUAUAGAUGGAUCCGCGCUGCAUUAGCUAGUUGGUAAGGUAACGGCUUACCAAGGCAACGAUGCAUAGCCGACCUGAGAGGGUGAUCGGCCACACUGGAACUGAGACACGGUCCAGACUCCUACGGGAGGCAGCAGUAGGGAAUCUUCCGCAAUGGGCGAAAGCCUGACGGAGCAACGCCGCGUGAGUGAUGAAGGUCUUCGGAUCGUAAAACUCUGUUAUUAGGGAAGAACAUAUGUGUAAGUAACUGUGCACAUCUUGACGGUACCUAAUCAGAAAGCCACGGCUAACUACGUG